rnacentral:rRNA from 1 species
CAGAACGACGCUGGCGGCAUGCCUAACACAUGCAAGUCGAACGAGACCUUCGGGUCUAGUGGCGCACGGGUGCGUAACGCGUGGGAAUCUGCCCUUUGCUUCGGAAUAACAGUUAGAAAUGACUGCUAAUACCGGAUGAUGUCUUCGGACCAAAGAUUUAUCGGCAAAGGAUGAGCCCGCGUAGGAUUAGGUAGUUGGUGGGGUAAAGGCCUACCAAGCCGACGAUCCUUAGCUGGUCUGAGAGGAUGAUCAGCCACACUGGGACUGAGACACGGCCCAGACUCCUACGGGAGGCAGCAGUGGGGAAUAUUGGACAAUGGGCGAAAGCCUGAUCCAGCAAUGCCGCGCGAGUGAUGAAGGCCUUAGGGUUGUAAAGCUCUUUUACCCGGGAUGAUAAUGACAGUACCGGGAGAAUAAGCUCCGGCUAACUCCGUG